CCCGCCCUCUAGCCGCACCUCGGGGUCCAGGAUCCCACCCAAGUCGCUGCUUUCCGCUAAGGGCCCGACUCUUCUUGGAAGUCACGAGGCAGCACCGAAGCCCACCCACGGAGGAGACCCCGAGUGGGUGGGAACGGGGUGCUGGCGCGGCGCCACCUUGGAAGGUCCUCCGGCUCUUGGGAAGUUCGCGUGAGAAGCACCAGUGCAUGCCUGUGGCCAGAAGAGGGCAUUGCAUCUCCCGGAACUGGAGUUACAGUCCUGAGCCACGGUGCAGGCGAUUGUGACUCAAACCUGGACCCUCUGGAAGAGCAGCCGGCACCCUUAGCAGAGGCGCUGUCUGUCCAUCAGUGCUGCCAGCUGAGUUCUACAUCUUUGCUGAUUUUGCUGUCCUGCUUAGCACGCUUAUUUUUCCUAUCUAGUUAUUUGAACUUGACCCCCCUGAAAGCCGGUGCUUUGGGACAUGCUCUCUGGCCUGACUUUUUGCUAGGUCAACAAACUGACCCGGCUUUGCAUCAUCUGUGGCCAGUUCUUGCUGAGCCUUACAGCCUGUGACUGAAGCACGAACUACCUAGUAGAAGUCCUAGAGAGCCACACAGAUAGCUCCCGGAACCGGCCACUUUCUCCAUGAAUGGGGGAACAAGAAGGACAAACCGUACAGAUUUCCUGUGUUCCCUGCCAGGCCUCCUCCGAGGCCUCCUGGAAAGUGUGGCUACGAAGGGCAGCUCAGGGGCCCAGAGGCUCCUGGAAAGGGAGCCCUAGCAAGGGACAUGUCUGAGCACCAUGUUCUUCUGGCACCAGCUGGGGCCACAGCUCAGUUGGGAAAAGGCGAAUGUCCUCGUUACUUUUCUGUUGCACUGAUAAACAACAAAACAACCGGGGAGGAAAGGGCUUACUUCAUCUUACGCUUUGUAAUCCAUCAGUGAGAGAAGUCAAGGCAGGAACCGGGGCUCCGCAAGUGAAGCAGAGACCACGAGACCACGACGAACACCGCUCCCCGGCCUGCUCAGCCUGUUUUCUUACUGCACCCAGGACCACCUGCCCAGGGAUGGCACCAGCCAGUGAGCAGGGCCUUCCCCAAUCGGUCAGUAAUUAAGAAAAUGCCCCGCAGGUUUGCCCACAGACCAGUUUAAUGGCCAGUCUAAUUCCUCCAUCAGGGCCUCCCUUCACAAGUGACUCCUUUGUGUCAGGCUGACAGGGAACAGCCAGUGCAGCUCUCAACCCUGGGUUCAGUUCCCAGCACCGCAUAGGCCAGGUGUGGUGCAGCCCCGCCUGCCAUCACAACCAUGACUUCUGGGUCAUUCUCCUCUACAGAAUGAGUCCCAGGCUAGCCUGGGACACACAAUUUAACAUCAACUCCUACCACCGCCCCAAAGACGCUCUGGUUUCUCAGGGGCAGCUUAGAAGCUCCAGGAAGUUGAAGUUCACCAAGUUGCUCCCUCCUGCUUCCUCAUUUCUUUCCAAGCCACUUCUAAAUGGUGGUGCGCACGGAGCCCUGGCAGUGCUCUGACAGUGUAGACGAGUCCUCUGCCGGGAGCCCAGCCCAAACACCUGCAGAAGGUGAAAGGAGUAUUAUUGACAAUCCUCACCUGACUGGGGGUCAGGGAAGGCACAAGAUGUCCGUGGUUUGGGCAGCCCUCCCAGAGCCUUGUUUGGGUCCGUUGAUCCUACUGCAGCAGGGGAGCUGUGUUUGUGACCUGUGCUGUCACCAGAAACCACAUGGAGGGCCAUGAUCCGUGCUCCUGCUGACCACAGAGAGCAAGGCGGCUACUCUUGCUGUGAUAUCGAGGACUGCAGACAGAGUGGAGAGAGGGACGUGGUAGGCUUUCAUGACACCCCCCACCCAAAGUAACACUACACCAGAAGCCACCAAGGAGAACUAACUCUCCGGUGUGGGCCGCAUGGACAGUGCCGCCAGAGGAACUGGCAUGGAUCGGCUAAAGAAGAACUUGUUCAAACCCCAGAAAUCCCGAACCUUGAGAUUUAAAAUCUCAAUCUGAGGCGGCAGGAGAGGGGCUCCCUCUCUGUUUCUGCGCCUGCCUUGGAGCUGUGAUCCAGUGAACCCGACCGGGUGAUCAAACACAGUCAGUCACGCGGCCCAGCACCUGGAAUUCUUCCCCGUGCUCCUGAGGCAUCCUGGACACUCUCACCCCCUUCUCCCAAACUAUAUAAUCCUUGGCUCAUUCUGAAUGAAGUGUCUGUGUAUAAGCCCACCCUGAGUAAAGGUAUAUGUACAAGCUAAUUGUCUAAGAGAACUGUGUUAUUAAAGAUUGUCCUCGAAGGCCUUCACCUGAAAGAGCUGUAACACUAAUAUCCUCGGAGUCUGUCUGUCUGUCUGUCUGUAUCCCCUCCCCACUCCCAACUGGAGCUGGGUCCUGUCCAUUCUGGAGUCAGUCCACUUCAUCCAUCCAGCCACCCGGCGUGCUGCAGUGUCCGUACACCCUGAGAGGCAGAAGCCCAAAGCGUGCUUAAGUGUGACGGAGACGCUGAAGUGUGGCUCUCCACAGCUAAUGGCUUCUGCUGGAAGCAUAGGAGGGGACAGCCGCCAUUCUAUCUAAGGGGCAGGCCACUGAAGCACAGGAGGGGACAGCCGCCAUUCUAUCUAAGGGGCAGGCCACUGAGAGUUUGACUAUGCUCCA